GUUAAUAGCUAAGUUAGCUUGUAACUUUCCAAUCCGAGAUGAGGGCUCUUUGGUUUUAAUGGGAACGGGACCUGUAGAUUUCUCUGUAGUUACUGUCUUCAGAGCUUCAUGCUGUUUGGCACUUAAAGCAUUUUCUAGAGGAUUACAAUUCUCUGAGGAAGGGACAGAACUGGUCUUGACUGUUUUCUUCUCUGCUAUUUUCGGAGGGUUUGUUUUAGCAGUACUGAAGAGAUCAUCUUCAUCAUCAUCCCCAAAAAUACUUCCUCCAGAUGAUGGUUUCAGGAUACGAUUUGCAGACAUUGACGUCUUGGGACUGGCAAAGAGGUCAACAUCCGGAUCAUUGUCCUUCUGAAGUUUGUGACUGAAAAGAAGCUCUUCAUCUUGAAAGACACCAGUGCUUUUGGGACGAAUGUUCUUCUCAGAAGGCACAUCAUUGCCUUUGUGUGCAUUUU
rnacentral:lncRNA from 1 species